rnacentral:lncRNA from 10 species
UCUACAGCAGCACCUUAAGCAAGAGAGUUAUACAAAGGUCAGUGAUCCCAGUAUGAGGUCAGGAGAGUAAAGAACAGAUAUAAGGCAUCCUCCCUGCAAGAGACCCUCUACAGCCAGACCCUAGGAGUAUAAUGGCAAAAACUUGGGACUAAAGGGAGCAAUGGUUUCAGGUAUGGACCUCCAACAGAGUCACACCUUUUAGGACAAAGACAAGUGUGUUCUUGUCUCCUGGAACACA